rnacentral:rRNA from 1 species
GACGAACGCUGGCGGCGUGCUUAACACAUGCAAGUCGAACGGAAAGGCCCUGCUUUUGUGGGGUGCUCGAGUGGCGAACGGGUGAGUAACACGUGAGUAACCUGCCCUUGACUUUGGGAUAACUUCAGGAAACUGGGGCUAAUACCGGAUAGGAGCUCCUGCUGCAUGGUGGGGGUUGGAAAGUUUCGGCGGUUGGGGAUGGACUCGCGGCUUAUCAGCUUGUUGGUGGGGUAGUGGCUUACCAAGGCUUUGACGGGUAGCCGGCCUGAGAGGGUGACCGGCCACAAUGGGACUGAGAGACGGCCCAGACUCCUACGGGAGGCAGCAGUGGGGAAUAUUGCACAAUGGGGGGAAGCCUGAUGCAGCAACGUCGCGUGCGGGAUGACGGCCUUCGGGGUGGAAACCGCUUUCGCCUGUGACGAAGCGUGAGUGACGGUAAUGAGUAAAGAAGCACCGGCUAACUACGUG